CUUUUGGCUUUGUGACUGAUCUGUGAUUGCUCAUUACCCUGUUGUACGUGACCUGAAAGAAAAACGAGAUUCAAGGGUUGAAAACUAUCCUCUGGUGUUUUGUCUGCUGUUUCACGUGUGAACCAUUUGAAACACAAACUGAUCAACUUCAAUUCUCGAGAGAAUUCUUUCUUUAUUAGCAGAAUUGAUCAGUUUUCUCACGUAUAAAGUAGAUCAUUAAUCAAAAAGCAGUUAAUAGAAAUAAUAAAAUGAUUGGAGGUAUGAUAGAAUGAAAAAAAUCCGAAGUUGUAUUUCUUUCAUUAAAAAGGAUGUUUGUAAUAAUAAAAUUACUUUUAUUGAAGCAGUGUAAGUUGUAAUAUCUUUUCUAAUUAAAUAAUUUUAAUU